GGUUUUCCGUGGUCAAGCACGCAGCCAGUCCCAUAGGCAAAUCCGUGGGACAUGCAGGGUGAGGUGCGAUGAUGGGCGCCUUUCAUGGCGCGAUAUCCGGUGGUCCAGGCCGUCGAGAAAAGCCUCGGCGCGAGGGGCGUUGCCGCCCGUACCCCAAACCGACACUGGUGGUCAGGUAGAGAAUACCAAGGCGAUCGAGCGAAUCCUGGUCAAGGAACUCGGCAAAUCACUCCCGUGCCUUCGGUAUAAGGG
rnacentral:rRNA from 1 species